rnacentral:misc_RNA from 1 species
AGUUUGGAUCUGGCUCAGAUUGAACGCUGGCGGGAUGCUUUACACAUGCAAGUCGAACGGCAGCCACGGACUUCGGUCUGGUGGCGAGUGGCGAACGGGUGAGUAAUGUAUCGGAACGUGCCUAGUAGCGGGGAUAACUACGCGAAAGCAGCAGCUAAUACAUACGCCCUUUAAAGGGAAAGCGGGGACCUUCGGGCCUCGCACUAAUAGAGCGGCCGAUAUCGGAUUAGCUAGUUGGUGAGAUAACGGCUCACCAAGGCGACGAUCCGUAGCUGGUUUGAGAGGACGACCAGCCACACUGGGACUGAGACACAUCCCAGACUCCUACGGGAGGCAGCAGUGGGGAAUUUUGGACAGUGGGGGAAACCUGAUCCAGCCAUCCGCGUGUGCGAUGAAGGCCUUCGGGUUGUAAAGCACUUUUGGCAGGAAAGAAACGGCACGGGAUAAUACCCCGUGCAACUGACGGUACCUGCAGAAUAAGCACCGGCUAACUACGUGCCAGCAGCCGCGGUAAUACGUAGGGUGCAAGCGUUAAUCGGAAUUACUGGGCGUAAAGCGUGCGCAGGCGGUUCGGAAAGAAGAUGUGAAAUCCAGAGCUUAACUUUGGAACUGCAUUUUUAACUACCGAGCUAGAGUGUGUCAGAGGGAGGUGGAAUUCCGCGUGUAGCAGUGAAAUGCGUAGAUAUGCGGAGGAACACCGAUAGCGAAGGCAGCCUCCUGGGAUAACACUGACGCUCAUGCACAGCGUGGGGAGCAAACAGGAUUAGAUACACAAGUAGUCCACGCCCUAAACGAUGUCAACUAGCUGUUGGGGCCUUCGGGCCUUGGUAGCGCAGCUAACGCGUGAAGUUGACCGCCUG